GGAGGGAUCGGAUAAUUGGUUAUUCCACCAGUCUUGAAAACUGGAGCCCCUCACGGGGCUUGUGGGUUCGAGUCCCACUCCCUCCG
rnacentral:tRNA from 1 species